AGGCUUGCCAGGGGGUCAGGCUGACCCUAGGGAAUUCAGGGGUGAGAGGCAGCGUGUGGCCCCAGGACCCAAGAUCCCCUUUCACUGCGGGACAGCAUGGCCAGGGACUUGCUGCCAUAGCCUACACCAGCCUGAGGUCCUGAUGUUUCCAGCUUCUCCAGAGGACAUCACCCUUGUGCAGGUGAGGACCAGCCCCCGGGUAUUUCCAGUUCCAAACAUGAAGGCCAGCCUGGGCCCAACCUGGAGGCCUCUUGGGGGACUUCUGUGACUUGCUCCUAACCUCCUCCUCUUCUCCCUGAGAAAUUGUGACCGACCAGAAUCCUGGAAAAGCUGUUCCUGUAUUGAGUGAAUUCACUGUGGGAAGCAAGUGGAUCUGAGUGGUGCAGGAGAUGGACUGUAGUGGAUGCUAUUGGUGCCCUACUCAGAUUCUCUUUAUCAGACCAGUGCACC